GGGCUUCAUCUCAGCCAGCCUCCAGACCUCCUUCACCACCACUGCCAACCUUCAGAACUCCGUCACCAUUGCCGGUGCCCUCCAGAACUCUAUGCCUUCUUGUGACCUCCUGGUUUGGGUUGUUUCUUUGUCGUUUUUUUGUUUUCUCCUCUCACUGCUGGAUUCUUUUGUUCCACUGCUCUUGUCCCGAUGCUUCGUUGCUCUGCCACAUUAUCCGUUGUCUCACCCAGUUCUCCAUGCCAGUCUCUCAUUAUUCAUUAAAUAUUUAAUCUCACCACGACUCUCUCAAGUUCUUGUUAGCACUUUGGUCCUGCAAUAAACCUACACUACAUGACAAGCAGAGACACAAUUUCAGAUUCAUUGAUGAAGAGCUUCCAAUCAGAGGGACAUCUGAGGACAGAAUAGGGAGAGAUGGGAACAGAGAACAAGUGGAGUAAGCUUUUAUUGAGAUAACAACACAAUAACAUGUUGAAAAGGCCUGGUUAAAAUAACAGUUAUAUGUUUCAAUCCAGAAAGACAAUUGUAGCAACAAUUAAUAGACAAAAUAGAAAACAUCCAAUCAGUUUGUAAACCUUCAUCUUUAGCAUCACCUGUCAGAAAGAGGAAGAUGAGAAAAAAAUGUAGAACAAAUGACGUCUAUUUACAGGAAACUUUUCAAAUCUGAACAAAGUUGAACUCAAAGUAAGUUUCCAUAUUUGAGUUUCUGCUGUCCAUGUUUAUUCUUCCUCUUCAUGAAUCCUAUGCUUUUGUUUUGUCAAUUCAUGUCAACAUACCUGAGCUCCUGAGUUUUGUGCUGAUGAAGAAAACAUUAACAACAACCCAAACAGAGGUCCUGCUCCACCGCCCCAGAUCUACUGAUUAUAACACAGUGUGGAAAAGGAUAUUGUAUCAGUAAGAUGACUGGGAUGAGACCAAAACACCGGUCCAAUGAGGAGCGAGACAAUUAGAGGACAAGCAGAAAUUCCUGUUGAAAAUCCAGUGAUUUAAUGAUAACCUGAAGACGGAGACAGAAAGCAUGUAGAUUCAUCAUCCAAGGUUAAAUCUCAGUUUGUGAACCUUCACCUUUAACACCACCAGUCUGAUGGAGGAAGAUAAGAAAAUCAAGGUAAGGAAAAAGGAACAUCUGGAAAGACACAUCGACGUCAGCUCAAGCAGAGGACCUGCUCCACCACUUGAUCACACUGUGGGUGGAAAGGUUGGUACAGGGGGUCACCUGAAGACAGGAAACAGAAGACAGAGACAGCGCAUGUAGAGAUUCAGACUUCGCUGACCUUUGAUGUCUCUGAUAAUCCCAGGUUGAAUCUCAUCGGUUUGUGACCCUCUGACUGACACCACCAGCUAGACAGAGGAAGAUAAGAAAACGAAGUUGACAAAAAAAGUAAGAAAAUAUGUAUUUACACAAAAAAACGUUACAAAUGUUCACACAAUUACGCUUAAAAUGUAAAACUUUCAGACUUCCUGCUUUCAUUGGUUAUUCUUCCUCUUCACUGAUGCUGUUGUCUGGUCUCUGUUUAUUUGUUGUACAUUCAUCGCCUGAUGACUGAGCUUCUGUGAAGUUUGUGCUGCUGGAAGGAACAUCUGGAAUGACAUAUCGGCAACGCCUCAAGCUCAGGACCUGCUCUGCCUGAUCUACUGAUUAUAACACAGUGUGGAAAAAGCCUUUGACCAGCAGGGGGAUUGUGUGCACCUGAGGCCCAGAGAAAGGAACCCUUCUGCAAAGCAGUUUCCUGGCAGGCUGCAAGGCUUCAUGGGACCUGAGCUCACCAUCACCAAGGGACAUCUGAGGAACGUGACAGAGAGCAUGUGGAAACUCUGAGGUCUCCUCCAACUUCAACACCAGUCAGAAGGAGGAAGAUAAGAAAAUGAAGUCAACUCAAAAAAAGAUGAUGGUGGGAUGAUGACACAUCAACAGUGAUUCAAACAGAGAACCUGCUCCAGAAGCAUUAAGAUAUGUUUACUUAAACACUGUGUGGAAAAAAAAGUAGAUUGUGAGUUCAGUUCUGGACUCUGGGGAACUCUGACAUUAACUAGCUGAUCAGCCGUAGCUAGUGGUGACUUGAACAUAGAAUCUGCCCCUCCAUCUGAUCUACUGACCUUAACACAGUGCUGAAAAAUGACUGAGAGGAGACAACAGGACCUUUAAGGACUGAGAAGACAGUGUGGUGCACAGAAAGGCGGCAUACCCUUUGCAGGGUUUCACUGAAGAACGCCCAGAGACAGCUGGAGGACUACUGCACUGAGGACAGACCUGAAGACACAGAAAUAGAGGAAAGGAAGGAAGAAUAUGAACCCACCAAGACUCGACUGUCCACCUGGACUGGCAGGCAGGACGAGAAGAGCAUCAAUCAAGAAAGCAGCCAAGAGGCCAUGGGUAACUCUGGAGGAGCUGGAAGGGCCCACAGCUCAGGAGAGAGGUUCUGCUAACAUGACACUUAACAAAUCUGGCCUUUAUGUAAAAGUGACAAAAAGAGAGUUUUGCAUAAGUAGGCUUGCAAAAUGCUAGGAAUUUUCAAAGCCUGAAACUUGGAAUUAACAGGACUUUAUAGGAAAAAUAAAAUAAAAACAGAAUUUAAAAUAUGAAAGGUUGGGCUUUAACAGGAAUUUUCUAUAUUUCUGCAAAAUAUGCAUAUUUUAGCAUAUUCUGACUAAACCAUCCAGACUUUAUGCAUAUAUAUUUAUUCUAAUCCACAAUCACAUGCCCAAAUCACCCUGCCUCUUACAAGGUGUAUGAAACCAAGCCCUAUGUGCACUGUGUAUUCCUCCAUCAUGAUGUCUAGGACCAUGAGCAGGACCCCAGAACUACUGUGGAUACACAUUCCAGCCUGUUGAUUACAUAAAGUGAAGUAAGAAUAUAUCCAUAUGUACCAUAUAUUUAAUGUAAUAUAUUAAUGUUCAACUUCACAUAUAUAUCAGAUUAUGCCUACACAAAAUUCCCAUGAAUAUUGUCCAAUUUUGAAUAUUUCCAAAAUUCCACAACUUAACCUCUGAAAUAUUUGCAUGUGUCUUUACAGUCCGGGCCACUUGUCAUAUAAAGGAUGCAGCAAACAUGGAAGAAUGUGGUCUGCUUAAAUGAGACCAAAACUGAGUUUAUUAACACACCAUACCAUGAUGAAACAUGGUGGCGGCUGUAUUAUGCUGUGGGGAAGCUUUACCUUAUCAGUGGCUAAGGGGCUUCAGUGACCUGACACUUCAAGCUAGUCACAACAAACACCGAUGGAAGGGGAUAGAUCCAGGUAAAAUGGUCCAAUCAAAGUCCAGACCUAAAUCCAAUUAAACAUGUGUGGCAAAAUCUGAAAAUUAUUAUAAAAAAUAUAAAAAUACCGCCUAGAUUUGCAAACAGUGACAUACCCUAAAAGAUGUAAUUACAACAAAAGUGGCUUUUUCAAAACUAUUUACUUUCCAGAUUUUGGCAAAAAUAAUAUUUGGAACACAUCUUGUUUUCAUUCCUUUCACAAUUAUGCACUACUGUAUGAUGGUCUAUCACAUAAAAUCCCAAUAAAGUACACUGAAGCUUGUAAAUGUAACUUGACUAUCAGGAGAAUGUUCAAGGUGUAAACAAACCUUUAGCAUUAUCAUUAUGUGUUUAAAUCUAACUCACCUUGCCUUGUUUCUCCCCCUCGUUCUGGUUUCCCUUCCCCCCCUUUAAUAGCGAGGGGUGAGGGGUGAAAUUGUAACAGGGUUUAUUGUCUCCUAUGCUGCUUAUAGGAACACACACACGAAUGCUGUUAGCAGCACCUUUGACUCGCAGCAUAUUGGAUUGAGGGGUUACAAGCAGACACCUGCGCACGCAUAACCAAACACACACACGUACACGUAUCAAUAGGGUCAGAGGUCAAACACCGUAAUCUGCACCUGGGUCAGAACUACUUGCCCAUGAGGUUUAUGAGACCCUAAACCCUUCUCUCUUUCUCUCAUAUGCACAAGCCAAGGGGUAUGCACAAUUGAUCUGGUUGUUUUAAGCCAGAGUCAGGCUCUUCCCCAGUAACAUGAGCUGCAGAGUGAAAAGGCCUUCUUUACUCAGUGGCUGGCUCUGCACACUGUCUGCUUUUUUAUAUAUAAACAUUGAACAGUCAGCAGAUAACUUCUUCAAUGGCUUUGAAUCAACAUAACUUGCAAAAGCGAAGCAACAAAACUAACAGCUUCAAGAUGUUGUGGAGGUUCAAACUAUCUUUUUGCAUUUUUAUCCCAUAAAGCAAAAAAAAAAAUGAAACAAAAGUCAAAUUUAGCAUAAACCAACAAGAUUUCUAAAAUUAAAGUUUUUAUGUCACUUUCCAGUUCUUUACUGGACUUCUUGCACGUUUCUUAUAAAAUGUUGUCAUGGCGAUCUUGCUGCCAGUGGGGGUAUAAGCAUUGAACACGGUGAGCUGAAAUGUAGAUAUUUAAAAGUGGACAUAUGCAAAAUCCAAUUUUUAGCAUUCAAAUAUAUUUUGUUGUGUAGUUGGAGUCUGUAGGAGUAGAGAAAAGUUGAAAUCGGUCUCUCCAGGUGUUGCAGAGAUAUCUUUAUAUUCUGUUUUGGGUCAUAUUUCUCAGUUCAGUUUUCUCUAUCAUCUAUAAAGUUUUUCCAACUGUUACGUCACAGUAUUUGCAGCGGAACAGCUAGAUACGGUCAUACACAUCCGGCUGAUCAACUUCCCAUAUCCGCUAUAUUUAUUUCUCGCAGCAGUUUUGUAGUCCAAGCUCAAGUAUGCCUACGCUGAAAGAGGAUCAGUUCGGUUCGGUUGUUGGGUGUAUUAACCCACGCAUCAGAACCUCUUCAAAGUGCCUGGUUAAAUUGUA